rnacentral:rRNA from 1 species
UAUGUGAUCGUCUCUCGCAUAUCAAUAAGCGGAGGAAAAGAAACUAACAAGGAUUCCCCUAGUAACGGCGAGUGAAGCGGGAAGAGCUCAAAUUUGAAAUCUUAAAGGGUUUCCCUUUACGAAUUGUAGUUUAAAGAAGUGUUUUCUGUUGAGGUUUUGGUAAAAGUUCUUUGGAAUAGGACAUCAUAGAGGGUGAGAAUCCCGUAUUUGACCUUUACUUUCAACUUUGUGAUACACUUUCAAAGAGUCGGAUUGUUUGGGAAUGCAGUCCAAAAUGGGUGGUAAAUUUCAUCUAAAGCUAAAUAUUGGCGAGAGACCGAUAGCGAACAAGUACCGUGAGGGAAAGAUGAAAAGAACUUUGAAAAGAGAGUUAAACAGUACGUGAAAUUGUCAAAAGGGAAGCGUUUGACACCAGUGUUGUUUUUCUGAAAAUCAAUUAAAGAACUGUUUAUGCUAAGUUGUUUAGACUUUAUCAGCUAACUGUUUAGUUUUGAGCUUUUCUUUAAUGCACUUUUCAGUUAACAAGUCAACAUCAAUUUCUUUUGCUGUAAAAAAGCUUGAGGAAGGUGGCUUGAGAUUCGUCUUAAGUGUUUAUAGCCUCUUGCCUAUGCAGUCGGAGAGAUUGAGGUCUGCAGCGUAGAUCCUUCGGGGCUAAAUGCAUUUGUGCUAAGUUAUAACAUUUUAUAGACAACUUGUUGACUAUGAUUUGUCUUGUAGCUUACUCGCUUAUGUUAUUUUACCUACGCUUAGGAUGUUGAAGUCAUCGUAUCGCGC